AAUUUAGAAUCAUGAUAAUAAGAAUACUAGCUGGAUUGAAAAUAGAUUAGAAUCCCUUUCUGCGGAGAUAAAAGAAGUAAAAACUACUCAGGAUGAAAUAAAAAACGCAAUAACUGAGCUGCAAUAACGAAUGGAUGCUGUGAUGGCAAGGAUGGAUAAGACAGAACAGAGAAUCAGCAAUCUAGAGGACAAACUUGUAGAGAAUAAUGAAGCAGAAAAAAA